AGAAAAUCUGAUUUUCGGGGAUUUUCUUCUUUAGCGUUGAUUUAUAAAAAAAUUAUUUCUUACUAAUAAUGCGGUAAUAGCUCAGUUGUCAAAACUGAAGGAGAGCGUUAGACUGAAGAUCUAAAGGUCCCUAGUUCGAUUUUAAAGAAUUCCUGGGUUGCCGCAAAAGUAAAUAAAGAAAAAAAUAUCUUA
rnacentral:tRNA from 1 species